GGAUGUGUAGCUCAGCGGUAGAGCAGUUGACUGUUAAUCAAUUGGUCCAUGGUUCGAAUCCAUGCAUGUCCGCCA
rnacentral:tRNA from 1 species